rnacentral:rRNA from 1 species
UACGAACUGUGCAAACGUUAUUCGGAAUCACUGGGCUUAAAGGGUGCGUAGGCGGCUUGUUAAGUAGGGUGUGAAAUCCCCCGGCUCAACCGGGGAAUUGCGCCCUAAACUGGCGAGCUGGAGUGAGAUAGGGGUGUGUGGAACUUCCAGUGGAGCGGUGAAAUGCGCAGAUAUCAGGAGGAACACCGGUGGCGAAGGCGGGUCUCUGGGCCGAUACUGACGCUGAGGAGCGAAAGCGUGGGGAGCGAACAGG